UUGUAUAUCUAUUUAAGCAAAUGAAAAGGCAAAAGAAAUAUCAUGCCAACCUAAUCCCAUGGACUACAUAAUAAGCACCAUUUUGCAUUCACAUCACCCAGCAAUUAUAACUAUAACCUCCAAAAAAUAGCAGAAAUAAGGGAAACUACAAAAAUCUAAAGAACAACCAGCUCAACAGUCAUUAGGUGGUAUUUUUCUUCCAUGACAGCAUUUAGUAGAUAUUUCAAGGCUUUUAUGGGGAACAGGAUACAAAAGGCUGUGGUUGAACCAACCAAGCAUAUAUAUUCCAGACAAAAUGGAAGGAAUAAACAUGGAAAACUAAACACAUCAUGAUAUGGUUUGUGACCAGAAGAUAUAAUUCAAGUCAAUAGUGGCUCACAAUUGCUUACUCCAGUAACACAGAUCACUCCAAGAUUUGCAUUUGUUUGAUUCCAUAAUUCGCCAAAAGACCAAAUCCUAUAUUGAACAUCCAUGGAAAACCAUUAAAAGGUGGCUUUAUCAGCAUGAACAAAACAAUUAGAACUGUUCUAGGAAGAGUGAGGA
rnacentral:lncRNA from 1 species